GAUUGCAGCCACGUGAUGUCACACACUUAACCGACAAACACUAGCAACCACGUGCACGCUUCGUGUGAACGUCAUACAAAGAAGUACAUGACAUACCACACCAGGCUGUAUCAAAACAUCUUCAGGUGACGUGGGGAGGGGGAGGGUGGUCAUUAAAUGCAUCUCCACUCCCCAGCAAGGUUAUCAAUUGACUACAAGCAACCACAGGUAACGCAUCCCUAGUUGAGGCCAAUGGUUGGUAAAGCAACACAAGGUCUCUGCUUUGAUGAACUGUACAAAUUUGCAGUAAGUUGCCAACUGGCUAAUAUUCGAUGGCAGCAACUACAUCACUGUACAUCAAUGGGCGCAGACCUAGACCGAGCUCUAGACAGCUGAUUCGGAUGCAGCCUAUGCUUCACAACACAAACAACAGACAAACUAUUUGCCUUGUUUAUGCUCAUGAUUCAACAAUAUUUAGGUCCUGCUACCACUUUGACUUAUUAUCUUGAAAGCUUCACCAGAAACCCAUUUCAAUCAAACAUGCAAUAAAUUACACUGAUCCAGAAAUAAGCAAAUAGGAGUGGAUGCAUGAAAAGAGAUUGUGUAUCAUUAAUUAUUUGUUGUUUUCUACCUUUUGAUAU
rnacentral:lncRNA from 1 species